UUUCCACAUCAGCUUCUUCAAAAUUACGUUCUUCCUCCAUUACAGUUACAUCGUCACAUUGUAGUUACACUUGGUUGAUAAAUGAUAUGCCCUUUCACGUUCCAACUUCUUCAUCUUUACAGUUACCCACAAUCAUGGGUUUUUCUUUUUAUUGAGAAAUAGUGCGUCGAACUUUAAUCAAACAGCAGCAUUUUGAGUUAGAUUGAAAUUGAGCAUCAUCGGAAGAGAUGGGAAGAGGACACGAACACGGCGGGACAACCUAGAAAGGUGUCACCAUUCAUCAACCUAAGCGUUGGCACACCGUUACCGGUUUUGGGUGAUGUACAGGGCAAAGCAAGAUGCUCAUGUAGUACUGGGCUGGAGACAUCCCUGGGAUGGUCACAAUGUUCACGGAAGCGGCCAUUAAUUUUCGUAGGUCAUGAAGCACUAUGCGUAUUCAAAUUUGUCACGAAGUUCUCAAAGAUUUGUCUUUGCUUUUUUUGAGUUGAUAUCAUCAUUAGCGCAGACUUACCAACAUGCGAGUACUGUGAUUCAAUCUCUGUCGGAGGAGG